CCUGAGGGGGAGGGGCUACAGGUCAGACAGGCUGUGUGUGUGUGUGUGUGUGUGUGUGUGUGUGUGUGUGUGAGUCAGCAUCACAUGACUGUAAUGAGCUCUGACAGCAAUGUGACAAAGUGACAAACAGACGACAAGAAGAGAAGGCGUCCCCGCAGCACGUCGCCCUGGACAUACAGUAUUACUGCUGUGAUCUGAUGGCUGUCUGUCUCUGGGAAUAAACCCUGUUGUUGUUGCUAGACGAGGUUCAGUCACCCAGAAGAUGAAGCAGUAGAGCAGCAGCAGCGACUUCAGGCAGAAGAUCACCGGUUUGGUUUCCAUCCUCCUCGGCGCCAUGACCCGACUGACCCUCUCCGCUCUGCCUCACACCUUCAGGUCCAGACGGCUCGUCUGUCUGGAGGUCACAACAAACCUGCUGUCAUGAAAUGAAAAAAUAUUUGUUGCAACUCGACACCUUGAUCAAAAGUCAUGAACACACAAACACAAACUCGGGACAAAGAUCCAGAACACAAAGGGUGUAAAAAUAAAACCGUAAAAACCUUCA